rfam:Fulmarus glacialis contig74126, whole genome shotgun sequence.
AAACAGGAUUCACUGGAAUCCAUGGAAUUUUUACUAUAACAUUUCU